CUGAAUAAUUUGAAGACUUCAACUUGCAAACUUGAAGACUCUUCAACUUGCAAACUUGAAGAAUGUAAAGACUUAAACUUGCAUACUUGGAGAUUCUAAAGACUUCAUCU
rnacentral:pre_miRNA from 1 species